CUCCAACUUGGUUGGAGUGUACAUGGGUCCCGGCCCGAAAAUAAAGUUCUUCAGUGAGUUCUCAUGACUGUGUCAUGCUUCAAGAGAUCGUCACUAAUCUAAUCUGGGAAUGAGGUCCAACAACUCAAGUUGAAAUGGAAUUAGAGAAUCGAUGCCAUUUGUCUAUGACUGCAUCCUGAAGAGAAAACUCAUUAUGGAGCCAUUUGGGCAGAUUCUGAUGGACAGUUAGAUUUUAUUGGCAUUUGGGAGGAGCAUGCCACUAAAAAUUAAAGUCAUAAAUGUAGCCCUGUGGAGCUGCAAACUCCUGCAAAGAACAUGAAACUUCGGAACCAGUGAGCACAGGGAGACAGACCCUCCUCAGAGAACUUUAACAGGGAAGAGAGGCAGAUGUGUGACCAAGACCGACGGAUUGAAUUCAAGGUCUUUUCCAUGAGCUACAUCCCCACUCUCUCACUCUCAGGCCCUUUGAGCCAAGGCCCUGUCUCCUGAGGUUCAUGACACAGCCAGCGAAUCUCCUGCAGGCAACUCCUCCAGCACUGGAACCUUCAGGGGACAUUCAAGCCCCAAAGGGAGCAGAAGGAGUGUAAAUGAGCACUGCCAUCAUGGGAAACAACACCUGACCCUGAGGACGUUAAGCUAAGUGAACACAACCAAAGGCAGUCAAGCAGAGCAUGCCCUGACUCCUGUGCAAUUGAAGGACGCAGGAAACCUACUGUUGGGAAGUUAAUUUUAGGAGGAGAACUUGUGACAACUAAGGAAAGAAAAGGCCCAAAUCCAUGCAAUUAGGAAUGAAAAGGGUGAAAUGACAACAGACCCAGCAGAAAUCCAGAGGAUCAUCAAUACCU